GACGAACGCUGGCGGCGUGCUUAACACAUGCAAGUCGAACGGAAAGGCCCUGCUUGCAGGGUGCUCGAGUGGCGAACGGGUGAGUAACACGUGGGUGAUCUGCCCCUGAUUUUGGGAUAAGCCUGGGAAACUGGGUCUAAUACUGGAUAGGACCAUGCUGUAGGUGGUGUGGUGGAAAGAUUAGUUUCGGUAAGGGAUGAGCUCGCGGCCUAUCAGCUUGUUGGUGGGGUAAUGGCCUACCAAGGCGUCGACGGGUAGCCGGCCUGAGAGGGUGGACGGCCACAUUGGGACUGAGAUACGGCCCAGACUCCUACGGGAGGCAGCAGUGGGGAAUAUUGCACAAUGGGCGCAAGCCUGAUGCAGCGACGCCGCGUGGGGGAUGACGGCCUUCGGGUUGUAAACUCCUUUCAGCCAUGACGAAGCCCUUGUGGUGACGGUAGUGGUAGAAGAAGCACCGGCUAACUACGUG
rnacentral:rRNA from 1 species